UUUAGUGAAAUUUUAUUGAUUAGAUUUUAUAUGAAAUUCAAUUGUGUAAUUUAAAGAUAUUGGCGGUGUUUUAUUUUAUUCUGAGAAUCUUGUAUAAUUAAAUUGAUAUUGCACAAUUUAUCUUAUCUUUGUUAAUGGUUUAUGUAUUGCUGUUUAAUUUAUGUUUUGUUUGGAAAUAAAUAAAAGUAUUGGUUUGUAAAUAAAUAAUUCAAGUCAAGAUGUAGUUUUACAAAGGUUUAUAUGAGUUGCUUUUUUCUAGAAUGAAAGAUGAGAUAUAAUUUGAAAUAAAUUAUGAAAAAAUAGGAUUAGGGAGUAAAAAAGAAUUAGUAAGUUUUUUUGAUAAAUUUUGUGAUCAUGU
rnacentral:rRNA from 1 species